rnacentral:lncRNA from 10 species
AAAAAUUGAAAAUAAAUCUAGAUAUUUAGCUUUAUGUUCCUUGGCUAUUUUUGAUAGUUCUGGUUUUCAGGUAGCAUCAUUAUGUUAAAAGGCUGGCUGUCAAAGUUAGUGAUUACCAAUAGGGUAUAAUUUCAGGUAUAUCAGGUAAGACUCUAAGUGAAAUAUAGCUCCCUAAAUGGCUGCCUGAUAUGUGAGAUUUUGCAAUUCAGAUUUGAGUUUUUG